rnacentral:rRNA from 1 species
UGGGGAAUUUUGCACAAUGGGGGAAACCCUGAUGCAGCGACGCCGCGUGAUUUAGAAGGCCUUCGGGUUGUAAAAAUCUUUUGUAUGGGAAGAAAAUGACAGUACCAUACGAAUAAGGACCGGCUAAUUACGUGCCAGCAGCCGCGGUAAUACGUAAGGUCCGAGCGUUGUCCGGAAUCAUUGGGCGUAAAGGGUACGUAGGCGGAUAAGCAAGUUAGAAGUGAAAUCCUAUAGCUCAACUAUAGUAAGCUUUUAAAACUGCUCAUCUUGAGGUAUGGAAGGGAAAGUGGAAUUCCUAGUGUAGCGGUGAAAUGCGCAGAUAUUAGGAGGAAUACCGGUGGCGAAAGCGGGUCUCUGGGCCGUUACUGACGCUGAGGAGCGAAAGCGUGGGGAGCGAACAGG